GUAAAGCGAGCGCAGGCGGAAAAAUAAGUCUAAUGUGAAAGCCCUCGGCUUAACCGAGGAACUGCAUCGGAAACUGUUUUUCUUGAGUGCAGAAGAGGAGAGUGGAACUCCAUGUGUAGCGGUGGAAUGCGUAGAUAUAUGGAAGAACACCAGUGGCGAAGGCGGCUCUCUGGUCUGCAACUGACGCUGAGGCUCGAAAGCAUGGGUAGCGAACAGGAUUAGAUACCCUGGUAGUCCAUGCCGUAAACGAUGAGUGCUAAGUGUUGGGAGGUUUCCGCCUCUCAGUGCUGCAGCUAACGCAUUAAGCACUCCGCCUGGGGAGUACGACCGCAAGGUUGAAACUCAAAGGAAUUGACGGGGGCCCGCACAAGCGGUGGAGCAUGUGGUUUAAUUCGAUGCAACGCGAAGAACCUUACCAGGUCUUGACAUCUAGUGCAAUCUGUAGAGAUACGGAGUUCCCUUCGGGGACGCUAAGACAGGUGGUGCAUGGCUGUCGUCAGCUCGUGUCGUGAGAUGUUGGGUUAAGUCCCGCAACGAGCGCAACCCUUGUUAUUAGUUGCCAGCAUUAAGUUGGGCACUCUAAUGAGACUGCCGGUGACAAACCGGAGGAAGGUGGGGAUGACGUCAAGUCAUCAUGCCCCUUAUGACCUGGGCUACACACGUGCUACAAUGGGCAGUACAACGAGAAGCAAGCCUGCGAAGGCAAGCGAAUCUCUGAAAGCUGUUCUCAGUUCGGACUGCAGUCUGCAACUCGACUGCACGAAGCUGGAAUCGCUAGUAAUCGC
rnacentral:rRNA from 1 species